GAUGAACGCUGGCGGCGUGCUUAACACAUGCAAGUCGAACGGGAAUUAUUUUAUUGAAACUUCGGUCGAUUUAAUUUAAUUCUAGUGGCGGACGGGUGAGUAACGCGUGGGUAACCUGCCUUAUACAGGGGGAUAACAGUCAGAAAUGGCUGCUAAUACCGCAUAAGCGCACAGAGCUGCAUGGCUCAGUGUGAAAAACUCCGGUGGUAUAAGAUGGACCCGCGUUGGAUUAGCUUGUUGGCAGGGCAACGGCCUACCAAGGCGACGAUCCAUAGCCGGCCUGAGAGGGUGAACGGCCACAUUGGGACUGAGACACGGCCCAGACUCCUACGGGAGGCAGCAGUGGGGAAUAUUGCACAAUGGGGGAAACCCUGAUGCAGCGACGCCGCGUGAAGGAAGAAGUAUCUCGGUAUGUAAACUUCUAUCAGCAGGGAAGAUAGUGACGGUACCUGACUAAGAAGCCCCGGCUAACUACGUG
rnacentral:rRNA from 1 species